AGUAAACGAAAAUUACCGAGUUCGGUAAUUUAUUUUACAGAACCUGGUCUGUAAUUCGAAAAAUUUCGGUAAUUGAUCAAUUUGACGUAUUGUUUUUACCGAGUUCGGUAAAUCAGUUCUUAAUUUACCGGAGUUCGUUUAUUUUUAUGUAAACAAAUCGCUUUGCAGUAAAUUUUCGGUAAAAAAACACCGAUAUCUGUAAAUCAUUGUCGCUGUCAAAACAGACAUCAAAUUUCAAGUGUCUUUUUCUGGCAGCUUUGAGCGCAGCUGUCUCUCUCUCUCUUAAUACCACAAAGUCUUAUUGGCAUCCCGCUUCCGCUGUAAAAUAGGCAAAUACAAAUAGGAAACGUUUCACUGCCAUUUUAUUUUCGUUUCGUUCUUGUAUCUAACAGCCGUUCAGCAGUUGCGAGCAAAAAAAAAGCGCAAUGUACGCAAGUGGAAGUUUUUUAAUUGUUUCAGUUGUGUUUCGUGCACGAGUUAGAAAAUUAUUUGACGUAGAGGAAACACCAUUGAUGAGUAAGGUAAAUAAACUGGUAUACAAAUUGUAAUUUUAGAAUAAAAAAGAAGACUCAAACUUAUUUUCAUGACUUUUUCUGCAUAAUAUUUACGUUCAGUGUCAAGAAUUGACGUGUUUUAAAUUGUCAUUUUUUGUUAUUUUACUCAUAACCACAUAUUCCACAUUCAGACAAUCCCUACAUUCAAAUUGCUCACAUCCACAAUUUUUCAAUAGCAACGCAGGAGCCGGUGAAAGACCGGAACAACAAUCCAUUCCUUAUUCGAGCAGUUCUUGCCAAUCUGUCCCACCACCUCCAUAACCAGCAUAAACAAACCAUCGUCAUCAUCAUCAAGUGGUGUUGAACUUCAUCCUACGCCUGGCGGGAUCGGAACUUUGAUUGGCUUCAUUCCAGCGCCAAUUCAAAUAAUGACCAAAAUCGUUUUCAUCCACUCCAGCAGCAACAUCAGCAGCUUCAUCUUCAUCAUCUCCCAUCGCACUAGACUCAUCAAACAGCAACCUGAAUCUUCUAUUGGGUAUCGAUUUUACUCCAACCCCACAGACUCAGAGCUCGAAGACCGACAUCCGCGACGAUGAUCAAAAUUCAUAAGUGAGGUCCUCACCUCUACCAGAGUUUAAUCUGUCUCAGAAGUGGUCGCAAUGAAUCUCGGCAACCCGGCACCAACAGCCCGGUUGCAAGCUUAAAGAAAAGCGUGCCACAGGUUGAUCCCGCUGCUAGAUCGAUUUUAACCGAAGCCUCGUUUAGUCAAAAUCCGGGAUCAACCGGUGUCUGAACCCUUUGAGGAUCAGUCCACUCUCAAGUAUAGUUCCACAAGAGUUCGAAUGGCUGCAAAAGUUUGUCGAUAGUAUGGACAUGAAAACGUUGAACGGAACCACUCCGCUCGAUGAUAAGUGGAAAGAACUGCAGAAUUUUCUGGUCAAAGACGAAUUCAAGAGACAUGUUAGUGUGGCUCGACUGUUUCGGAAAAAAAUUCGUUCCAUGGAUUGUGUGCCAUACAAUCAAGCCCGGAUAAAGCUACCACAUCCACUGAUACAUAAAUGCAGCAUUUGUUAAGGAACUUGGAUUUGGCAGCCGACAGAUAAUUCUUACGCAGACUCCUCUACAAAAUACCGUGAAUGACUGCUGAUUUGGUCUCAGAAAUCGACAGUUACACACCAAAAAUAUUAUAAAAUUAAACGAGCCAUUAACGCUUCGUGACCUCAUAAUUAUUUGAUCUAAUUAAUGAAUGAUUUAAAUUCACAUCAUUUUGCAUCUAAACUUUACACACUCGAAAAAGUUUAUGGAAUCAAUUGAAGUAUAAAUUUCAAAAAACAUAAUUUUAAAUCACAAAAGCGAAAUUUAAAUAUUCUUAGAUGUAAUUUUAUGUACGCCUGAUUAAAAAAAAUGAGCAUCCCAACGGCAAUCCUAAAAAUGUAAACAAAGUUUUCAGCUGGUUUGGAACGUUCGGAGUCUUGCUGAAAUUUAAAAGCUCUAUGUAACAACCGUUUGUGAUCAAUAUAACAACGGCGCUAGCUGACGUGGAAGAAAUUAAUAGUGAAACCAGUCCGGAAACAACUAUGAAAAUGCUGAUGCAAUUGCUCUUCGUACACGGUCCACAGUAUCAUCGAAAUCGAGAGCUUGAUGAACGAAGUUUGUCACCGGUCAACUGCCGGAAUUGCAGACCUAAAAGUAUCGAUGUGAGAAACGGCAAGGAAGGAACUGACACAUUUUAUCAAGAUGCUUUAUCGAGAUGUCUAAACUAGUGGGAAAUUUGGAACCCGAAUGCCUGACCGAGGAAGCAAAGGAGAUAAUGGGCAUUUCGAAAAAUGCCAAUAGCAUCUACCGUGAAUUAGUCAACUGAAAACAAGGUAAUCCUAGAUUCUCAAACUAACCAGGCACUCGAUUGAGCCAACGCUUAGCAAUGCAGUACCUGGUAUCAAUUCCUAAACUGGAAAAAUGAAGAGUGCAGAGUUCGGUGCCAUAAAAAUAAAUUCAAUUAGCAUCAACAACCCGUUAAAGGUUCCACCGGUGCCGUAACACAUUUAAUUUGUUAUUUUAAUAAUACUCGCUGGAACUAUGACUAACGGAAAAGAUUUCAAGUCGAUCCUAGAAACUUAGUUUCGUAAAAAACCAAAACUCAGGACGUUAUGAAAUGUCAGACUUCUAAAUACCGGUCCGCACUACCCGCACGGCAGAAUUUUCGAAACCAAAAGGUCCGAUAGUUUGUUCCGAAAUACAAAUUUCGUAGGCUGCACAAUUUUUCGCCAAACGCAUCUGCCUCGUUGAAGCCAACGUUUUGGCGUAUUUAAGACUCGAAUUUGAACCAAUUUAUCCGUCAUCUGCUCUUGUCGAGCAGUCUACCUUUAGGCGUAUUCCUUUACUAAGCGCGAGUUUCGUCGAACGUAGUUUCAUCGAUUCUUAAUUAGCUAUGCAUUUCUUUUGACAGAAUCUUAUGCAUAUGGAAUGCAUUAAGUUCAUAUUGCUGUAAAUAAUUCCUUUGCCUUUGGAAAUGGUUCUCUUUCCUGUUCCGUAGAGCCGGUCAUUUCCGCCACAACUCGAACAACGGCUUGACAAAAAGAAAACAAACAAACGAUUUGUGCGCAUCAAUUUUAAGCAUGGUUUAUUAAGAUCCGAUGAUACUGAGUUUGUCGAUAAGCCAACAGGUUAAUUUCACAGACGGGAAUGAAUUUCGUCGAAAGGUUGGUGUCACUUUCUCAAUAUGAUCACGCCAAAAUGAUAGCUUUAAAUUGUUUUAUCGAUCAUGCCAUUAUGACGAAUUUGAAGAAGCUGUACUCCGUACGGUAUUUGACUAAAACAUUAUCUUCUAUAAACGGUUCAAUUUUAAACUACUGCGCCAACUCUCAAAAUGUAGCUACAUGUUGGCAUCCGAUAGUUAGUAAUUGACUAAAACAGUAUUCCAAUUAUCAUUAUGUUAGCUAAAAGAUUGUAUAUUCAUCAAACGAACUGUAAUUGU